AAGUGUGAGAGAAAAAGGGCGCGACUCAGGGCGUGCCUUGUUGCAUUUAGGUGUUGUCUGCUUGCUGGAGGGAUUUGGCUGGGAAGUGAGAAAAGCUGAAAAGCAGAUAAGGUAGUGAAAAGAGAGAAAGACACAAAUAAGGCUCCUACUUCACCUGCCUUGCCUUUUAGGCAUGCUGAAACAGACAAUUUUUACUUUCAGCAUUCCCUUCCAUCCUUCUCAUUCCAUCUCUAUUUUUUCCAUUGCACAAACAAUAUUAGUUAUUGUAUAUAUUAUCACACAUAUUAUUUACUUGUUUCACCCUGCCCAAUGUAGCCAUUAGCCAUUAGAAUAAGGUCUUUAGAAUAAGGUUGGAAUAACACACGGUCAUUAGAAUAAGGUUCGAAAUUUACAACGUGAACAAGAGCUGCAUGUUAACUAGGGUUGAUCCUCCAUAAAUCGGUUCCUAAGAGUUAGCUUCUGGACAGGAAAAGAAAGACAGUUCAAGUAAAAGAAACAAAGCAGACAAAGAUGCACGGACAAAACCAGUCUAUCUGGAAACUCCCUUGGAGCAGUAAACAGCCACAAAUAUGGCCUGGCCUGCCGUUGCCGUCAGCAUACAGACAUGCCUUUUACAUGUUCAGAAUGUUGCGAUGACUCACAGAUUACGGACGGGAAGAACAGAAAAAUAGAAAUAGGUAGUAGGUGUGGCAGCUGACUUUCAACUGGGUGUGUGUCCAAGGGUGUUGCUAUAAUGGCAUAAUGGCAUAGAGUCUCAUGUCAAUUCACAUUUUGAUGGUUAUUGUACCCUACUACGCAGAUGUAUUCAUGUAUUAUAGACUAAAGGUGCUUCAGAUCAUGUAAGUUUCUGGCUUACACACAGGUCUCCAAAAUUAACAUGAAAUACAAUUUGCCAACACCAGAGAUAAAUAACUUGCCUAAACAAGUUGUGUUUAAAGUGAAAAUUGGCAAUGCUAGACCUUUAGCUUUUAUUAUGUUGUUUAUGACUCGUUCCUGUUCCUCUUAAUAGUCAUUGCUUAAUUAGUGUGUACCUUAGAAAACAUAAGAUGUCUAAAACAGCGAAAUCUCCCUAGAACUCUUCUAGUACAUUCUGUUGUGUUCAGUUACACCCAGACUCACUGUGAACACUGGGGCACUUAAAUGCCUGUCAUGUUGCUUUAGUAAGCUUUGCUUUAAAUCUUUUCCCACAUAAUCACUUAUUGUCUGGAUGACAUGUAGUCAGCUUUGCAAGUCACGUCAAGCAAUUCAGGGAUUUUUUUUUUUAUUGUUUGUGGUGCAUAGUGUCAUUUUUCCAAGAUCAGAAAACAUUAUUGGUUCCCGACAAAGAGUGGCUAAAUACAUAACUUAAACAGUAUAGAUAGAUAGAUAGAUAGAUAGAUAGAUAGAUAGAUAGAUAGAUAGAUAGAUAGAUAGAUAGAUAGAUAGAUAGAUAGAUAGAUAGAUAGAUAGAUAGAUAGAUAGAUAGAUAGAUAGAUAGAUAGAUAGAUAGAUAGAUAGAUAGAUAGAUAGAUAGAUAGACGGUUACAUCAGAGUGACAAUAGAUUCUCUGUUUAGGUGUUGUAUUGAAGCUGUUAAAUAAUGCAUUGGCUUCAAAGUAUCUAUGCGGGCAAAAUAUCUGUUGGUUUCUGACUCUCUGGACUCUUUAGUGACGCCCACAAUGGAACACUUUCUUUUGACUCCUUCUUUCCCUCUGCAGUCGGUCUCUCACUCUCCCUCUCUAGCUCUAGGUAAUUUAAGGUCAGGCAAAGAUUAUAGUAGGUAGUAAAUGCCAGAAGCAGGGCAGAACUGUGAUAUAACUUUUUAAAGGAGUGGUGAGAGAGUAGAUUUAGGAAUGUAUGGUAUUACUAGGGACCAUUUCGUAACUGAUACAGGGAACAGGAAUAGGCAUUUUGAAAACAUUUAGCCGGUUAUAAUCACCACAAUAAAUUAUACAAUAUAAAUCUGGAUACAGACUUUUACAUUUGAAGGAUUGAAUCACAUGAUCUCUCAUUAAAACACAAAAUCUUUUGUUUCUAUCCAGAUAGAUCCUCCUUCCUUUUUUCCCCCACUUCUUUUUCCUUUCCUGUGCAUGUGCGUGCAUGUGUGUGUGAGUGUGUGAGUGUGUGUGUGCCACUUUAACAGCAGCCAUUCAACACAAAACAACCCCAGCUCUCCAUAGCAACAGCACGGAGUGAAACUUGAGAAGAAGAUAAGGAAGUGAGAGAGAGAGAGAGAGGAAUUUCUCUGUUUUGUCCCCUGAAUUCACACAGAAAAAAAAAGAAAAGUUAAGGGUUGUGGGGAUCCUCGAACCUAUCCCAGGUGUCCAAGGCAGGGGAAACCGGUUGGGGUGCCGAACCAUCUCAGGGCACAAUUACACACAGUCUGACACUAGGGCAAUUUAGAAAUGCUAUAAAGGUCAUCUCACAACAUAUCUCGUCAGACUGUGGGAGGAAACCAGAGUACCCUGAGGAAACCCACCAAACUGGGAGAACAUGUAAACUCCACACGUGCACAGGAAGUGAACCCCAGACUCUGAAGGUGCGAGAUAAAAUGUAGAAAUAAAGGUUAUACAAA